GGCCAGGGGGUCUGGUUUUAUAGUCCCUUCAAGUGAAUAUGGGCCCUUGGAUCAAACCGACAUAGAUUGUAUGGUUUAGAUUCAUCCUUUAGGUCGGUGGAGAUCUCCCGCAAAGCAGAGUCCUGAUUGGACUCCUGGAGGGGGCGGGCGCCCUGUCUCUGGCCCCGUUUCGCCUCCGCUUCGGUCUCGUGGCUUCUGGAGUCUUCUAGAUGUAAGAUAAUUGCGCAGCACGUUAAUAUCUUUACGUAAUCCCGACAUGUGGGCCUUUCUUCCAUAUUUCCUGAUAACCCCCUGC
rnacentral:lncRNA from 1 species